UACAGAGGUGGCAAGCGUUGUUCGGAAUUACUGGGCGUAAAGGGCGCGUAGGCGGUUCGUUAAGUCCUGUGUGAAAUCCCCCGGCUCAACUGGGGAACUGCACAGGAAACUAGCGGGCUUGAGUUCGGGAGAGGGAAGCGGAAUUCCGGGUGUAGCGGUGAAAUGCGUAGAUAUCUGGAGGAAUACCGGUGGCGAAGGCGGCAUCCUGGACCAAUACUGACGCUGAGGCGCGAAAGCUAGGGGAGCAAACGGG
rnacentral:rRNA from 1 species